CACGUAGGGACCGAGCGUUGUCCGGAUUUAUUGGGCGUAAAGAGCUCGUAGGCGGUUCAGCAAGUCGGGUGUGAAAACUCUGGGCUCAACCCAGAGACGCCACCCGAUACUGCUGUGACUAGAGUCCGGUAGGGGAGUGGGGAAUUCCUGGUGUAGCGGUGAAAUGCGCAGAUAUCGGAAGGAACACCGGUGGCGAAAGCGGCGCGCUGGAUACCUACUGACGCUGAGGCGCGAAAGCGUGGGGAGCAAACAGG
rnacentral:rRNA from 1 species